GACGAACGCUGGCGGCGUGCUUAACACAUGCAAGUCGAACGGAAAGGCCCUGCUUGCAGGGUACUCGAGUGGCGAACGGGUGAGUAACACGUGGGUGAUCUGCCCUGCACUUCGGGAUAAGCCUGGGAAACUGGGUCUAAUACCGGAUAGGAGCCAUUUUUAGUGUGAUGGUUGGAAAGUUUUUUCGGUGUAGGAUGAGCUCGCGGCCUAUCAGCUUGUUGGUGGGGUAAUGGCCUACCAAGGCGGCGACGGGUAGCCGGCCUGAGAGGGUGGACGGCCACAUUGGGACUGAGAUACGGCCCAGACUCCUACGGGAGGCAGCAGUGGGGAAUAUUGCACAAUGGGCGCAAGCCUCAUGCAGCGACGCCGCGUGGGGGAUGACGGCCUUCGGGUUGUAAACUCCUUUCGCUAGGGACGAAGCUUUUUGUGACGGUACCUAGAUAAGAAGCACCGGCUAACUACGUG
rnacentral:rRNA from 1 species